rnacentral:rRNA from 1 species
UACGGAGGGUGCAAGCGUUAUCCGGAUUUACUGGGUUUAAAGGGUGCGUAGGUGGAUUGGUAAGUCAGUGGUGAAAUACUUUCGCUUAACGAAGGAACUGCCAUUGAUACUAUUGAUCUUGAAUACCGUGGAGGUCAGCGGAAUAUGUCAUGUAGCGGUGAAAUGCUUAGAUAUGACAUAGAACACCAAUUGCGAAGGCAGCUGGCUACGCGAAUAUUGACACUGAUGCACGAAAGCGUGGGGAUCAAACAGG